rnacentral:rRNA from 1 species
UACGUAGGGUGCAGGCGUUAAUCGGAAUUACUGGGCGUAAAGCGUGCGCAGGCGGUUUGCUAAGACAGGUGUGAAAUCCCCCGGGCUUAACCUGGGAACUGCGCUUGUAACUGGCAAGCUAGAGUGUGGCAGAGGGGGGUGGAAUUCCACGUGUAGCAGUGAAAUGCGUAGAGAUGUGGAGGAACACCGAUGGCGAAGGC